rnacentral:lncRNA from 1 species
UUGCAAUGAGGGACAGACGACAAAGGCGCAGGCGCUCAGCUGACGUCUCCAUGUUCUGAGAGAAACAUCGCUACAGCCGCAACCAUUCCCAAUCCUCCCAUAGCCGUGGCGGAGGCGAUCGUCCGGGUGAUUACACCAGAGAUUGCCGAUAGGACGGAGGAAUCAGGCCUCAGGAACCUCCUUGAGCGACCGGCUCUGGUGAGAGCGGGCCACGAGUAACCAGGCAACCCUCCGUCCGAAACUACACACCUUCCCUCUUCGGCGCCUUCCUCACAUCCAG